AGAGCAUGUGGUGGAUGCCUUGGCAAUGAUAGGCGACGAAAGACGUGAUAGCCUGCGAUAAGCUUCGGGGAGCUGGCAAAUAAGCUUUGAUCCGGAGAUUUCUGAAUGGGGAAACCCACCCUUAGGGGUAUCGCAUGAUGAAUACAUAGUCAUGCGAGGCGAACCGGGUGAACUGAAACAUCUCAGUAGCUCGAGGAAAAGACAUCAACCGAGAUUCCGAAAGUAGUGGCGAGCGAAAUCGGAAGAGCCUGUUAGUGAUAGCACACUUGUUAGCAAAGCGGCAUGGAAAGGCCGACCAUAGUGGGUGAUAGUCCCGUAUGCGAAAACAAAUGUGUGGUACUGAGCUAACGACAAGUAGGGCGGGACACGAGAAAUCCUGUCUGAAUAUGGGGGGACCAUCCUCCAAGGCUAAAUACUCAUCAUUGACCGAUAGUGAACAAGUACCGUGAGGGAAAGGCGAAAAGAACCCCGGGAGGGGAGUGAAAUAGAUCCUGAAACCGCAUGCUUACAAAAAGUAGGAGCCUCGUAAGGGGUGACUGCGUACCUUUUGUAUAAUGGGUCAGCGACUUACAUUCAGUGGCAAGGUUAACCGAAUAGGGAAGCCGUAGAGAAAUCGAGUCCGAAUAGGGCGAUCAGUCGCUGGGUGUAGACCCGAAACCAAGUGAUCUAUCCAUGGGCAGGAUGAAGGUGCCGUAACAGGUACUGGAGGUCCGAACCGACUAAUGUUGCAAAAUUAGCGGAUGACCUGUGGAUAGGGGUGAAAGGCUAAACAAACUUGGAAAUAGCUGGUUCUCUCCGAAAACUAUUUAGGUAGUGCCUCAAGUAUUACCGACGGGGGUAGAGCACUGUUUUGGCUAGGGGGUCAUGGCGACUUACCAAACCAAGGCAAACUCCGAAUACCGUCGAGUACAGCUUGGGAGACAGAGCACCGGGUGCUAACGUCCGGACUCAAGAGGGAAACAACCCAGACCGCCAGCUAAGGUCCCUAAAAUUGGCUAAGUGGGAAACGAAGUGGGAAGGCUAAAACAGUCAGGAUGUUGGCUUAGAAGCAGCCAUCAUUUAAAGAAAGCGUAAUAGCUCACUGAUCGAGUCGUCCUGCGCGGAAGAUGUAACGGGGCUAAGCCAGUUACCGAAGCUGCGGAUUUGCAAUUUAUUGCAAGUGGUAGGAGAGCGUUCUGUAGGCCUGUGAAGGUGGUGGUGUAAACCCUGCUGGAGGUAUCAGAAGUGCGAAUGCUGACAUGAGUAGCGUUAAAGGGGGUGAAAAGCCCCCUCGCCGUAAGCGCAAGGUUUUCUACGCAACGUUCAUCGGCGUAGAGUGAGUCGGCCCCUAAGGCGAGGCAGAGAUGCGUAGCUGAUGGGAAACAGGUCAAUAUUCCUGUACCGAUGACAAGUGCGAUGUGGGGACGGAGAAGGUUAGCUCAGCCAACUGUUGGAUAUGUUGGUUCAAGCCUGUAGUCGUGCUCGGUAGGCAAAUCCGCCGGGCUUAGAUGAGGGGUGAUAACGAGGGUGCUUGCACCUGAAGUGAGUGAUACCCUGCUUCCAGGAAAAGCCACUAAGCUUCAGCUACACACGACCGUACCGCAAACCGACACUGGUGCGCGAGAUGAGUAUUCUAAGGCGCUUGAGAGAACUCAGGAGAAGGAACUCGGCAAAUUGACACCGUAACUUCGGAAGAAGGUGUGCCCUAGUAGUGUGAAGUGAACAACGGAGCAUGAAUGGGUUGCAAAAAAUCGGUGGCUGCGACUGUUUAAUAAAAACACAGCACUCUGCAAACACGAAAGUGGACGUAUAGGGUGUGACGCCUGCCCGGUGCUGGAAGAUUAAAUGAUGGGGUGCAAGCUCUUGAUUGAAGUCCCAGUAAACGGCGGCCGUAACUAUAACGGUCCUAAGGUAGCGAAAUUCCUUGUCGGGUAAGUUCCGACCUGCACGAAUGGCGUAACGAUGGCCACACUGUCUCCUCCUGAGACUCAGCGAAGUUGAAAUGUUUGUGAUGAUGCAAUCUACCCGCGGCUAGACGGAAAGACCCCAUGAACCUUUACUGUAGCUUUGCAUUGGACUUUGAAUCGGUCUGUGUAGGAUAGGUGGGAGGCUUUGAAACCAGGAUGCUAGUUCUGGUGGAGCCAACCUUGAAAUACCACCCUGAUUUAUUUGAGGUUCUAACCUUGGCCCGUUAUCCGGGUCGGGAACAGUGCAUGGUGGGCAGUUUGACUGGGGCGGUCUCCUCCCAAAGUGUAACGGAGGAGUACGAAGGUACGCUUGGCACGGUCGGACAUCGUGCCUAAAGUGCAAUGGCAAAAGCGUGCUUAACUGCGAGACCGACAAGUCGAGCAGGUGCGAAAGCAGGUCAUAGUGAUCCGGUGGUUCUGUAUGGAAGGGCCAUCGCUCAACGGAUAAAAGGUACUCUGGGGAUAACAGGCUGAUACCGCCCAAGAGUUCAUAUCGACGGCGGUGUUUGGCACCUCGAUGUCGGCUCAUCUCAUCCUGGGGCUGUAGCCGGUCCCAAGGGUAUGGCUGUUCGCCAUUUAAAGAGGUACGUGAGCUGGGUUUAAAACGUCGUGAGACAGUUUGGUCCCUAUCUUCCGUGGGCGCUGCAGAUUUGAGGAAGCCUGCUCCUAGUACGAGAGGACCGGAGUGGACACACCUCUGGUGUAUCGGUUGUCACGCCAGUGGCAUUGCCGAGUAGCUAAGUGUGGAAGAGAUAACCGCUGAAAGCAUCUAAGCGGGAAACUCGUUUCAAGAUGAGAUCUGCCGGGGCCUUGAGCCCCCUAAAGAGUCGUUCAAGACCAGGACGUUGAUAGGUCAGGUGUGGAAGCGCAGUAAUGCGUUAAGCUAACUGAUACUAAUUGCCCGUUAGGCUUGAUC
rnacentral:rRNA from 1 species